CCUGACGCAGCGACGCCGCGUGAGUGAUGAAGGCUUUCGGGUCGUAAAGCUCUGUCAAGUGGGAAGAAAAAGGAAAGUUAUAAUAUGGCUUUCUUUUGACGGUACCGCUAAAGGAAGCACCGGCUAACUCCGUGCCAGCAGCCGCGGUAAUACGGGGGGUGCAAGCGUUAUUCGGAAUUAUUGGGCGUAAAGGGCGCGCAGGCGGUUGCUUAAGUCAGAUGUGAAAGCCCGGGGCUUAACCCCGGAAGUGCAUUUGAAACUAAGUGACUUGAGUAUGGGAGAGGGAAGUGGAAUUCCUGGUGUAGAGGUGAAAUUCGUAGAUAUCAGGAGGAACACCAGUGGCGAAGGCGACUUCCUGGACCAAUACUGACGCUGAGGCGCGAAGGCGUGGGGAGCGAACAGGAUUAGAUACCCUGGUAGUCCACGCAGUAAACGAUGAACACUAGGUGUAGCGGGUAUUGACCCCUGCUGUGCCGCAGUUAACGCAUUAAGUGUUCCGCCUGGGGAGUACGGUCGCAAGAUUAAAACUCAAAGGAAUUGACGG
rnacentral:rRNA from 1 species